rnacentral:rRNA from 1 species
GCUCCUUCGACGAGUCGAGUAGUUUGGGAAUGCUGCUCUAAAUGGGAGGUAAAUCUCUUCUAAAGCUAAAUACCGGCCAGAGACCGAUAGCGCACAAGUAGAGUGAUCGAAAGAUGAAAAGCACCUUGAAAAGGGGGUUAAAUAGUACGUGAAAUUGUUGAAAGGGAAGCACUUGUGACCAGACUUGGGCCGGGCGGCUCAUCAGGGGUUCUCCCCUGUGCACUCCGCCCGGCACAGGCCAGCAUCGGUUCUCGUGGGGGGAUAAGACCGUCAGGAACGUAGCACCCUCCGGGGUGUGUUAUAGCCUGGCGGACGAUACCCCCGUGGGGACCGAGGUUCGCGCUCCGCAAGGAUGCUGGCGUAAUGGUCACCAGUGACCCGUCUUGAAACACGGACCAAGGAGUCGUCCAUUAGAGCGAGCGUUUGGGUGUAAAACCCGCACGCGUAAUGAAAGUGAACGCAGGUGAGAGCUUCGGCGCAUCAUCGACCGAUCCUGAUGUUCUCGGAAGGAUUUGAGUAAGAGUUUUAACGGACGGACCCGAAAGACAGUGAACUAUGCUUGUAUAGGGUGAAGCCAGAGGAAACUCUGGUGGAGGCUCGCAGCGGUUCUGACGUGCAAAUCGAUCGUCAAAUAUGAGCAUGGGGGCGAAAGACUAAUCGAACUGUCUAGUA